rnacentral:lncRNA from 1 species
CUUAUUGUAUUCUUCCUCUGCGGCCUUUGUAGCCUGGAAUAGUGUUGAAUAGAUAAUCCUUGCUCUGAAAAAGAUUUCUGGUUGAUCAAAAUUACAAGACUUGAGAUUAUCCAUUAAUGAUGAUAAAAGAAUUAUAACUCAUGGUACCAUUUUUGUAGCUGUGUUAGCUGCUCUCAAAGGGAGAAUUUCAUGGCAGAGGAAGAGGUGGUUGCUAAGGAAAUGACAGAAAAAAAGA